rnacentral:rRNA from 1 species
AUUGAACGCUGGCGGCAGGCUUAACACAUGCAAGUCGAGCGGAGAGAGGUAGCUUGCUACUGAUCUUAGCGGCGGACGGGUGAGUAAUGCUUAGGAAUCUGCCUAUUAGUGGGGGACAACAUUUCGAAAGGAAUGCUAAUACCGCAUACGUCCUACGGGAGAAAGCAGGGGAUCUUCGGACCUUGCGCUAAUAGAUGAGCCUAAGUCGGAUUAGCUAGUUGGUGGGGUAAAGGCCUACCAAGGCGACGAUCUGUAGCGGGUCUGAGAGGAUGAUCCGCCACACUGGGACUGAGACACGGCACAGACUCCUACGAGAGGCAGCAGUGGGGAAUAUUGGACACUGGGCGCAAGCCUGAUCCAGCCAUGCCGCGUGUGUGAAGAAGGCCUUAUGGUUGUAAAGCACUUUAAGCGAGGAGGAGGCUACUUUAGUUAAUACCUAGAGAUAGUGGACGUUACUCGCAGAAUAAGCACCGGCUAACUCUGUGCCAGCCGCCGCGGUAAUAC